rnacentral:rRNA from 1 species
AGAGUUUGAUCCUGGCUCAGGAUGAACGCUAGCGGCAGGCCUAAUACAUGCAAGACGAACGGUAAGUGAGUAGCAAUACUUAGCCAAGAGUGUCGUACGGGUGCGUAACACGUAUGCAACCUACCCUAUACAGGAGGAUAGCCUAGGGAAACCUGGAUUAACCCUUCAUAGUAUUAUUGGAUGGCAUCAUUUGAUAAUUAAAACUGAGGUGGUAUAGGAUGGGCAUGCGUCUGAUUAGUUAGUUGGCGGGGUAAUGGCCCACCAAGACGAUGAUCAGUAGGGGUUCUGAGAGGAAGAUCCCCCACACUGGCACUGAGAUACGGGCCAGACUCCUACGGGAGGCAGCAGUAGGGAAUAUUGGUCAAUGGAUGCAAGUCUGAACCAGCCAUGCCGCGUGCAGGAAGAAGGCCUUCUGGGUUGUAAACUGCUUUUGCCAGGGGAUAAAAUUUCCGUGCGUAAGGAAAACUGAAGGUACCUGGUGAAUAAGCCACGGCUAACUACGUG